AACGAAUAAAAAAAUAAAUAAAUCGAUAAGAUUUCUAUUAUCUUGUUUAAAAUGCUUAUUUUUCUCUUUUUUUAAAGAUAUUUCUGAUGUUUAAUUGGUGCAGAAAGUAUUAAAAAAGUGACGGAUAUUUAUGAAAGCGAAAAAUAGUUUUGAUUUGAUUUUAUCGUCAUCUUGAAUAGCAUGAGAUCCGAGAGGUUUGCAAACCCCAUUAUUUCCACAAAGCAUCGCAGCUUGGCGCCAGCUAGAUGGGGAAAGUGGAUCAAAUUCAGUAACGUAUAUAGGGACUACAUUACACGGGUUGAAAGAAGCAUCUCUCAUGACACACGUCACGAAGUAAACGAUCCCUCCUGUCAUAUUUAUAGAUACAGAUCACCACAGGAACACAUCCAGUUUAUCAUAAAAAAGAAAACAAAAAAGCGCUGAAAUCUCCUUCACCUCUUUCAUUGUGUUAGAAUUAACGCUUUUCUUUCGCAGGAAAAAAAUGAUUUUAUCAAAAAAAAAAAAAAAAAUAGUUAUAAAAAUAAUAAAAAAAAGAAGAACGAC
rnacentral:lncRNA from 1 species